rnacentral:rRNA from 1 species
AGGGCAUAUGGAGGAUGCCUAGGCUCUCGAAGGCGAAGAAGGACGUGAUAAGCUGCGAAAAGCUCCGGGGAGUGGCAAAUACACCGAGAUCCGGAGAUGUCCGAAUGGGGCAACCCGUCGAGGCUCGACCUCGACACACGCGAACGCGUGGGCGAACGUGGGGAACUGAAACAUCUAAGUACCCAUAGGAAGAGAAAAUAACAAUGAUUCCGCAAGUAGUGGCGAGCGAACGCGGAAGAGCCCAAACCGCAGGCGUAGCAAUGCGCCGUGCGGGGUUAUAGGACCGGCGCCACGAAGAACCGAAUGCUAGCCGAACCGACUGGAAAGUCGGGCCGCAGCGGGUGACAGCCCCGUAGGCGAAAGCGUUCGGCGACUCCAGCCGGCACCUGAGUAACCCGGAGCACGAGGAAUUCCGGGCGAAUUAGCGGGGACCAUCCCGUAAGGCUAAAUACUAACGAGAGACCGAUAGCGAACCAGUACCGUGAGGGAAAGGUGAAAAGAACCUCGAACAGAGGAGUGCAACAGACCCUGAAACCAUAUGCCUACAAGCGGUCGGAGCGGCUUAGUGCCGUGACGGCGUGCCUUUUGCAUAAUGAACCUACGAGUCACCGUCGUUGGCAAGGUUAAGGACAAUGAUGUCCGGAGCCGAAGCGAAAGCGAGUCCGAAGAGGGCGUCGGAGUCAGCGGAGGUGGACGCGAAACCAAGUGAUCUACCCUUGGGCAGGUUGAAGGACAGGUAAAACUGUCUGGAGGACCGAACCGGUAAGCGUUGAAAAGCUUUCGGAUGACCUGAGGGUAGGAGUGAAAGGCCAAUCAAACUUGGAGAUAGCUCGUACUCCCCGAAAUGUAUUUAGGUGCAGCCUCGGAGAGAAUCUGACGGAGGUAGAGCGACUGAUAGGAUGCGAGGGCUUCACCGCCUAUCAAGUCCUGACAAACUCCGAAUGCACGUCGGCCAAGCCAUGGAGUAAGGGCAUGGGUGCUAAGGUCCGUGCCCGAGAGGAGAAGAAUCCAGACCACCGGCUAAGGUCCCGAAAUACUGGUUAAGUUAGACUAACGCAGUCCGGCCCCCAAGACAGCUAGGAUGUUGGCUUGGAAGCAGCCAUUCAUUCAAAGAGUGCGUAACAGCUCACUAGUCGAGGAGCUGGGCGUGGAUAAUAAUCGGGUAUAAAACCAGUUACCGAAGCCGUGGGAUGCUUAAGCAUCGGUAGGGGAGCAUUGCAUGCGGCUUAGAAGGCGGGGCGCGAGCCCCUCUGGAGCGCAUGGAAACGCAAAUGUAGGUAUAAGUAACGACAAGGGGGGUGGGAUGCCCCCCCGCCGAAAGACCAAGGUUUCCUGAACAACGCUAAUCGGUUCAGGGUCAGUCGGGUCCUAAGCAUAAGCCGUAUGGCGAGGGCGAUGGAUGAAACGGUUAAUAUUCCGUUACUGUCUUGGUGUGUGACGCGGCGACGGAGUAGUGACACGGCCGCCUCCUGACGGAAAAGGGGGUUGAAGCGCAAAGGUGUCGAGGAAGGCAGGCAAAUCCACCUUCCGAGCCGAAGCGCGAUAGUACGCCGCGCCCUUUUGGGCAAGGCGAUAGUGCCGGUAAUCAGACUUCCAAGAAAACCCGCUAAACUUCAGCACCAAGUCACCCGUACUCUAAACGGACACACGUGGUCGGGUAGAAUAUACUAAGGCGCUUGGGAGAUUCACGGUUAAGGAACUAGGCAAAUUGACCCCGUACCUUCGGAAUAAGGGGUCCUCGCUUUUGCGAGGCGCAGAGAAUAGGUCCAGGCAACUGUUUAACAAAAACACAGGGCUGUGCAAAUUUGAAAGAAGAAGUAUACAGCCUGACACCUGCCCGGUGCCGGAAGGUUAAGAGGAGAGCUCAUCAGCGAUGAGAAGGUUUGAAUUGAAGCCCCGGUAAACGGCGGCCGUAACUAUAACGGUCCUAAGGUAGCGAAAUUCCUUGUCGGGUAAGUUCCGACCUGCACGAAUGGUGUAAUGAUCUGGACGCUGUCUCAACCGUGAGCUCAGUGAAAUUGUAGUAUCGGUGAAGAUGCCGAUUACCCGCGAUGGGACGAAAAGACCCCGUGAACCUUUACUAUAGCUUAACAUUGAAUUUGGGUAAUUGAUGUGUAGGAUAGGCCGGAGACUUUGAAUCAGGUACGCCAGUAUUUGUGGAGUCGCUGUUGAAAUACGGCCCUUUGAUUAUUUGAGUUCUAACCCGUUGUUGCGGGGACACUGUUUGGUGGGUAGUUUGACUGGGGUGGUCGCCUCCAAAAGUGUAACGGAGGCUUCUAAAGGUGCCCUCAGGACGAUUGGUAACCGUCCGUAGAGUGUAAUGGCAUAAGGGCGCUUGACUGGGAGACAUACAAGUCGAUCAGGUAGGAAACUAGAGCAUAGUGAUCCGGUGUUUCCGCAUGGAAGGGACAUCGCUCAAAGGAUAAAAGGUACUCCGGGGAUAACAGGCUGAU